rnacentral:rRNA from 1 species
GUAGGUGGCAAGCGUUGUCCGGAAUUAUUGGGCGUAAAGCGCGCGCAGGCGGUUUUUUAAGUCUGAUGUGAAAGCCCACGGCUCAACCGUGGAGGGUCAUUGGAAACUGGAGAACUUGAGUACAGAAGAGGAAAGCGGAAUUCCACGUGUAGCGGUGAAAUGCGUAGAGAUGUGGAGGAACACCAGUGGCGAAGGCGGCUUUCUGGUCUGUAACUGACGCUGAGGCGCGAAGGCGUGGGGAGCAAACAGGGAUUAGAUACCCUGGUAGUCCACGCCGUAAACGAUGAGUGCUAAGUGUUAGGGGGUUUCCCGCCCCUUAGUGCUGCAGCUAACGCAUUAAGCACUCCGCCUGGGGAGUACGGCCGCAAGGCUG